rnacentral:rRNA from 1 species
GAUGAACGCUGGCGGCGUGCCUAAUACAUGCAAGUCGAGCGGACGGACGCUAAUCUUGUUUCUCUGAUGUUUGCCGCGGACGUGUGUGUCACGCGUGGAUCCUCUCCCUGUCUUACUGGUAUCACUUCGAAACUCCGUCGCUAAUCCCGUAUAAUCUCUUGAUCCGCAUUGUUCGUUAGUGAAUUACGGUCUUUCUGUCUCUUAUCGCUGGUUACGCGCUGCUUUAGCUAGUUGUUACGGUACCGGCCUACCACGGCUACGAUGCGUAGCCGACCUGAGAGAGUGAUCGCCCACACGGGAACUGAGACACGGUCCAGACGACUACGGGAGGCAGCAGUAGGGAAUCUGCCGCAAUGGGGGAAAGUCUGACGGAGCAACGCGGAGUGAGUGAUGAAGGUCCUCGGAGCGUAAAACUCUGUUAUGAGGUAAGAACAGAUGUGGAAGGAACUGAGCACAGCGUGACGGUAACGAAUCAGAAAGCAACGGCUAACUACGUG